UUGAACGCUGGCGGCAGGCCUAACACAUGCAAGUCGAACGGUAACAGGAAGCAGCUUGCUGCUUCGCUGACGAGUGGCGGACGGGUGAGUAAUGUCUGGGAAGCUGCCUGAUGGAGGGGGAUAACUACUGGAAACGGUAGCUAAUACCGCAUAAUGUCGCAAGACCAAAGAGGGGGACCUUCGGGCCUCUUGCCAUCGGAUGUGCCCAGAUGGGAUUAGCUUGUUGGUGGGGUAACGGCUCACCAAGGCGACGAUCCCUAGCUGGUCUGAGAGGAUGACCAGCCACACUGGGACUGAGACACGGUCCAGACUCCUACGGGAGGCAGCAGUGGGGAAUAUUGCACAAUGGGCGCAAGCCUGAUGCAGCCAUGCCGCGUGUAUGAAGAAGGCCUUCGGGUUGUAAAGUACUUUCAGCGGGGAGGAAGGGAGUAAAGUUAAUACCUUUGCUCAUUGACGUUACCCGCAGAAGAAGCACCGGCUAACUCCGUG
rnacentral:rRNA from 1 species